CACGUAGGGCGCAAGCGUUGUCCGGAAUUAUUGGGCGUACAGAGCUCGUAGGCGGUCCGUCACGUCGGAUGUGAAAUUCCAGGGCUCAACCCUGGACCUGCAUUCGAUACGGGCGGACUAGAGUUCGGUAGGGGAGACUGGAAUUCCUGGUGUAGCGGUGAAAUGCGCAGAUAUCAGGAGGAACACCGGUGGCGAAGGCGGGUCUCUGGGCCGAUACUGACGCUGAGGAGCGAAAGCGUGGGGAGCGAACAGG
rnacentral:rRNA from 1 species